UACGUAGGUGGCAAGCGUUGUCCGGAAUCAUUGGGCGUAAAGAGCGCGUAGGCGGUCCGGUAAGUCUGCCGUGAAAGCCAGGGGCUCAACCCUUGGAUGCCGGUGGAAACUGUCGGGCUAGAGUCCGGAAGAGGCGAGUGGAAUUCCUGGUGUAGCGGUGAAAUGCGCAGAUAUCAGGAAGAACACCGAUGGCGAAGGCAGCUCGCUGGGACGGAACUGACGCUGAGGCGCGAAAGCGUGGGGAGCGAACAGG
rnacentral:rRNA from 1 species